UCAGACGAUGCGUCAUGCAUAUCAAUAAGCGGAGGAAAAGAAACUAACAAGGAUUCCCCUAGUAACGGCGAGUGAAGCGGGAAGAGCUCAAAUUUGAAAUCUUAAAGGGUUUCCCUUUACGAAUUGUAGUUUAAAGAAGUGUUUUCUGUUGAGGUUUUGGUAAAAGUUCUUUGGAAGUAGGACAUCAUAGAGGGUGAGAAUCCCGUAUUUGACCUUUACUUUCAACUUUGUGAUACACUUUCAAAGAGUCGGAUUGUUUGGGAAUGCAGUCCAAAAUGGGUGGUAAAUUUCAUCUAAAGCUAAAUAUUGGCGAGAGACCGAUAGCGAACAAGUACCGUGAGGGAAAGAUGAAAAGAACUUUGAAAAGAGAGUUAAACAGUACGUGAAAUUGUCAAAAGGGAAGCGUUUGACACCAGUGUUGUUUUUCUGAAAAUCAAUUAAAGAACUGUUUAUGCUAAGCUGUUUAGACUUUAUCAGCUAUCUGUUUAGUUUUGAGCUUUUCUUUAAUGCACUUUUCAGUUAACAAGUCAACAUCAAUUUCUUUUGCUGUAAAAAAGCUUGGGGAAGGUGGCUUGAGAUUCGUCUUAAGUGUUUAUAGCCUCUUGCCUAUGCAGUCGGAGAGAUUGAGGUCUGCAGCGUAGAUCCUUCGGGGCUAAAUGCAUUUGUGCUAAGUUAUAGCAUUUCAUAGACAACUUGUUGACUAUGACUUGUCUUGUAGCUUACUCGCUUAUGUUAUUUUACCUACGCUUAGGAUGUUGAAUCUGUGCGAGACUAC
rnacentral:rRNA from 1 species